CGAGUCCAUGGCUCGAAGCCUUCUGUCAAUACGUCGACCGAUCCACUAGCCCGACAUCCAAUCUUCUGACAUGUUCCUUCGGCACAACAUGAUUUUUCCUGCUUUAAUUAUCUCAUCCUGAUCGAAGCAUCCUACGUCACACAAAACACAGAUUAAAUUGUAAACAUAUAUCAAGUGGUUUCAUCAUCAAAAUACGAGAUUCAACAAUCUUUCCCUUUUUGAU
rnacentral:lncRNA from 1 species